CCGCGCGCGGGACAUAGUCCCUCCUUCUUUUCCGGAUCAAGAAGAGCAGGAGUGGAGUGACGGAUACUCGUAUCUCAUCGCAAUACAGGCGUGGAGGCGGUCCACCUGCGUCCGUACGACUCAGUCGGAACUCUGCCUGUUUUUGAUGCGAACGAAUUGAGCAGAACUUGCUUGGUGUAGAUAAUGGUUGAGAAGACCCACUUCUAUUUCUCCUGAACCUAAUAUAAUACUGACACAGCGUUGGUGGUCAGUGACCAUUUAUUGGAUGGAUAGGCUAAAGUCCUGGUGGAGUGCCCAAGACCAGAACACUGGGGAGAAACCCUCUGAACUCCUGUCCACACUCCUGUCCACAGUGCAGGUCAGGCCUCAGGAGUGUGUGAAGUAGAAAGUCUCAGUGAGUGAAAACUGGAAGACCUGCCCCUGUGACCCAUGGUCUCUCCACCCAGCUGUGCACACAGAGGCAGGGAUUAAAGGAAACAAAAGAAACAAGCGGCAGGGCUGUUUCAAGAUUUAUUGAAGUGGGUGAGAGGACAAGAUGCCCAGCAGAGACGCCUCCAACAGGAACUCCUGGCUCUAAAAGUUACACCAGGAGCAGAGAGGGGGACAUGGAGGCCACUGGAGGACCUGGUCCAGAUGGAAGGAAACCAGUCUUCUGGGUCUGCUGUGCCCUGUGGCACCUGCUAGGGGGCAGGGGCAGAGCCAGCUGAAGGUCUCCAGCUGUGAAUCCCAAGGUCCCAAGGUCUCAGGCCUUACCCAGGCCCCUGACCUGGUCACAUGGGGCCAAGCCCUUCCAUACUGUGCUGAGGCAACAGGAGAAGAAGGUCUGGCGGUGGUCAUGCAGCAACACCCCUCUUCAGUCUGCUACGCAAGUGGCUGUGAUCAGACCCAGAACAACCUAAAGGAGGAAAUCAGAUGAGGCUGGCAGCUUGCAACGUCUGUCUCAGAAACAGAGGCCGACUUAGCCCCUUGGCAGUAACUCACCAUGAGGAGGCUCCUCCAGGGAAGCUGGAACCCGGGUCACCAUCCUGAGAGGCCAGUGUUCCCAUCCCCGAGGUGUCCUCCAAGGCAGCACCCCCAGCAUGAUGGGGAGGUCAACAGGGCAGGAGGUCACGACAAGGGUUUGCUCUCCGAUGUUACCUUGCCUUUCUUCAAGCCAACAUCUGUGAGAAUGCCCCCAAAUAGUCAGGGAUGCGCUGCAGCGUUUUUCACACCAAACUCAGCUCAAAAAGGAAAUCCCAAAGCUCCCAGAGAAGAAUCCAAAGGAACACUGUCUUUUAAAAAAUGCACCUUCUGAGGGCAACCGAGCAAAUGUAGGAACUGGCAGAGAGAUGGCUGGAGAGCCUGCUCUCAGGAGCUCCUCCGACUCGGUCCACCCACACUGUAUGUCAGAGGGGGACCGCCACGGCCCAGCAGCCCUCCCCCCACACCUUCAUUACCUGCCUGCACACCUGACUCCCAGGUGCGCACACUCACCCUGGCCUCAGAUCAUCCUCAUGUUCCUCCCCUCCCCCCGAAGUCCCUCCUGGGGUCUAUCACGUCUCAGUCCUUCCAAGGCCGGUCCACCACCUCCUCCAAACAGCUGCUCCCCUUGACAAUCUUACAGCAGUCCCCGAACACCCCCCGACAUCACUCAUAUUCAUUAUGCGUAAUGCAGCCUGGCUCCUUACACCCCCUAACAUCUUGAAGCCUGACACGGACAUGGCCUGGCUCUGGUAACAGGAGGCCAUGCUGAGACAUCAGUGCCCAUCACAAAGGAGCCCCCAGCGCCUGAGGGGGAAGCUCGGGCUGGAAAGGAGCAGAGGUGUGGGAAAGCGCCAGCAUUUGAAAGGGACAGGUGCGGACCCUCCAAACUCGGGAAAUUGCUUUCCACAACUUCUCUCCCUGCAUUGUCAACGACCAGAGCACGGACAGCCCGUGGUCUCUUUUGAAUGCAGGUGCAUACGGGGCAGAGAGCACUCUGGGAAGAGAAGGCCAACACAGGGCAGAAGCACUGGGAAAAUACUACAACUGGAGGUUACAGGACUCACGUGGUCUUAGGCACCACAGAGUCACCUCCAACGUAGCUGUGGUUUUUCAAAUGAUGGAAACAAGGUUCUGAAUAGGAUGCUGACUGAGACGGCGGUCAAAGGAGACUCAAGCCCAGGGGCGGAAUCUCUGGCGCCCAGGUUCACGUGCUUCUGCCCACACUCCGGGGAGGAGGGCAGAUACCCCAUAACUCUCAGUGCCCUAAUGGGACUCAAGAGGUGCCAUCCUGCAGCAGCCGCUGAAGACAGUGAUGCGCCAGAUGUGACCCAGGCUGCCUGGGGCUGGGGUGGUGAGUGGACCUGGGGACUCGUGGAUGCUGCCUUCAUUCCACCUCUCAGCUCCCCUACAUCUUCACCCAAAGCCCCCGGGGACACACGUACGACCACUGUGUGGGAGGACCCAACACUCUACAGAGAAUGGAUCAGAGAUCUUACCUCAAGGACAGCACGGUCUAGAAUGCUCCUGACAUGACAGCUUCCAUGACGCCUCUGCACGCAGUGGACUCGUCUGGAACAGACCAGAAGCAAAGGGUGAGCACUCGACUUACCCCUGCUCACAGGAGGGCAAAGGCACCAGGAAAGGGCUUAGCACUAGAGUUACCAGACAGUAAACAUCCCCCAAGUGUCAGCUAUUGUUAUUUCCUGAAAAGACAUGCUAUUUCUUCACACAAAAAACAAUAGUUAACUCUGAAGAAGGAGACAGUGGAUGCUCUGUGGCAGGGUGCCAAUGCCGAUGGAUGUGUAAUUGAUCAGGGACAGGCAGAAAAGGAUGUCAUCGCCAGAUUUAUGGGAAUGUGCCAUGGCCGACUGACAGCAACUGAAGCAACACAUCAAAGGAGCCUGUUUCCCAACAGCAGGAGCCAGAAGGACACACCCCAGCAAUGACACUAACACACCCCAACAGACAUGAGGCCCUGGAGGCCCAAGGGGUGGGCAGAAGAGACACAGAAGUGUAGAAAUCUCCCAGAACUAGGGAGCGAGGGUGCGAGACAGCCCUACUGCGUUUCCUCUGUCUGCACUACCAAUAAGCAAGCCACGGGCAGCCCAGCAUCACUUCCAAGUGCAGCAGCAGCAAAGGACAGAGGGCUUACUGAAAAAGGAGGCCAGUGGCAGAGGCUCAGAGCAGUCAGCCGAGUUGAGCUUGAGAACCCAGUAUCUGCUUCUAGUCCUGCUAAAAAGCCUUCCACAUGGCCCAGAAGGGACAGACAAAGGGAGGACACCUCUGAAAGAAAAGUGACGGAGGUCUUAGGUUGUAACAGCCAGGGAUGACGUGAGCCGGAGACAAAUAGCCUCACUGCAGUCCUGCUUUCUGGAGGAUGAAACCAGAGACAGGAGAAGGUCCCAGAGUCAGGAGGAGACAGAGAAGUGACACACGAGUACAGGUGGACAUGUCAGAAUCCUUUCCCUGCUCUACACAUUCUGCUGCCAAAGUGACAAUCUGAGGAAGGGCUCCCCAAGGCUCUCAGGACCAAGCACACAAAGAGGAACUGGGUGGUUCCUCAAAGACCCCGAGAGGGUGAAGCUGAGUGCGAGGACCAAGUCACCCUUGUCUCUCUUCUAUCUCUUCCCAGACCACACGGGGACCUCAUGCACCUUGUGGGGGGCAAAGCUCCAGAUCUCCAAGGAACAGGACUCACCUGGGCCAGCUGUCUCUUGACAGGAUGGGGACACCUCUCAGGGACCCCUGUGCACCGUGCUGCUUCCUCUGCAACGAUCAAGAAGCCCUGGAUGAGCAACCUGGAUGCCACCCGGUCACCACGUGUCCUGGAACCCAGAUGGAUGCCACCCGGUCACCACGUGUCCUGGAACCCAGGCAGAGCACCUGGGUUCUCGGAGACACUGGCUGCUUCACAAAUGUGGGCUGUGUUCCCAACCCACGAGCCACACCUUUUAUUCCCAGGACAGAAGUUCAUUACUCCACAUAGGACAACAGCUCAUCUGCAUCUGACACAGAGACGGCUUUUCAGAUCAUCUUUUGUGCAAACUCAGAUGACUCUGUACAGAGUCUGGAAGCUGGAUCCUGAAUAGAAAGAGAAGGUCCAGGACAGACUGGGCUCCGUCUCACGCCAAGGAACCUCCAGUGGGUAAAUACUGGUCAACAGGAAGAACAACUCCAAGAAAAGAAAACACAGGAAGUACCUCCACCUCUCCCCGGGCUGGCUGGCCACAAGCAGUCUUUCUCUGAUUCUCCGUGACAUGAUGGGCCACGCCACCUCACUGGGAUGUGUCUGUCCUGUCCUCUCCUGCUGGGCAAUUAUUCCACAGCUGCUGAGCACCAGACACCUGCCAGGCACUGAGCAGAUGACACUCAGAUACUGACCUUGAGAUCGGAGCAGAGAGAGGCAGGAAAGACAAGAAAACCCAUGAUUCCCAUGAAGUAUGAUUAGUGUCCUCACCACUCUCUAGACCGCAAGCUGGACUAAGGACCUGGAAACGGGGAAGAGGGGAGGUAGACCUGGCUUUCUAGAGGGAAGCUCCUGGUGAAAAUUACCCAGUGGCUCCACAACCAGCCCCAGCUUCUAAGAAACAGCCUGCUUUAUCUUCCUUUUUUUUUUUUAAAACACAUUAUUGACCAGAGACUUAUUAUUAAUACAUUUUUUUUACCCAAACAUUUUUGACCACCAAUGUAUCAAUAUCACUUCCAUAACAAAUCACUGGCACCAGACAUUAGUUUCCUGAAAACAUCCCCUGGUCAACAAUGAGUUAAAAGCUUCUCAGCAACUAGCACUGAGCCUGGCAUAGGGAGCGCUUAGUAAGCUUCACACCAGGUGCCAGGAGGCAGAUCUAAAAAGGCAGUAGGAGGGAGACAGUGUGUGACAGCUCCAGAGUUCAGAAGGGACAGGAGUGAACCCUCCAAACACAGGGAAAACGCUUUCAACAAUUCCUCUCCCUGCGCUAUAAAUGACCAAGGCACCGGCAGCCCACGAUCACUUUCGAAUGCAGGGGCAGAGAAGGGCAGAUGGGGAAUCAGGCAGAGGAGCCGGGUCAGCAGCCGGCUCUCCACCCAGGCAGGGGAAAGCUGCCCAGCCAGGCCCAGGACCCCAGGCACUAGCCUCACUUCCUGAAAAGGUUCCACCGCCCCCCAUCAAAAGAAGCCAGGGGAGACCAACUUCUGGUUUAAAAAAAAAAAAAAAGCCUCAAUUACUCAUCCACCCCACAAAUACCAACUGAGCACCCACUACAUGCCAAGUACUGUGAGUUCAAAUAAAAAGAACACAGACCAGGCCUCUGCCCUUCCGGAGUGAUUGCCAUUUUCCCCCUUGAAGGAAAGGAAAGCUCAGGAGAAUAAAGGAACUCACCCCAGGUUCCCCGGCUAAUGAGGGGCUGACUCAGGAUCCGAACUCAGGCCUUUCUGGCCCCCAAACCCACCCCCAUCCCCCUGCACA
ensembl:lncRNA